rnacentral:rRNA from 1 species
CCUACGGGAGGCAGCAGUGAGGAAUAUUGGUCAAUGGGCUUACGCCUGAACCAGCCAAGUCGCGUGAGGGAAGACUGCCCUAUGGGUUGUAAACCUCUUUUGUCAGGGAGCAACGCCGGCUACGUGUAGCCGGACUGAGAGUACCUGAAGAAAAAGCAUCGGCUAACUCCGUGCCAGCAGCCGCGGUAAUACGGAGGAUGCGAGCGUUAUCCGGAUUUAUUGGGUUUAAAGGGUGCGUAGGCGGAAUGCCAAGUCAGCGGGAAAAUCGCGGGGCUCAACCUCGCUCCGCCGUUGAAACUGGCGUUCUUGAGUGCGCGAGAAGUAUGCGGAAUGCGUGGUGUAGCGGUGAAAUGCAUAGAUAUCACGCAGAACUCCGAUUGCGAAGGCAGCAUACCGGCGCCCAACUGACGCUGAAGCACGAAAGCGUGGGUAUCGAACAGGAUUAGAUACCCCGGUAGUC